rnacentral:misc_RNA from 1 species
GAUGAAGAACGUAGCAAAAUGCGAUAAGUAAUGUGAAUUGCAGAAUUCAGUGAAUCAUCGAAUCUUUGAACGCACAUUGCGCCCCUUGGUAUUCCAUGGGGCAUGCCUGUUCGAGCGUCAUCUACACCCUCAAGCACUGCUUGGUGAUGGGCGUCUGUCCCGCCUCCGCGCGCGGACUCGCCCCAAAGGCAUUGGCAGCGGUCCUGACCGCCUCUCGCGCAGCACAUUUGCGCUUCUCGAGGAAUCGGAGGCCUGCGUCCACGAAGCCCAUCUUUAUUUUUUUGACCUCGGAUCAGGUAGGGAUACCCGCUGAACUUAAGCAUAUCAAUAAGCGGAGGA